UCCGUCAGUAGUUGACUGACAAAAUCAUGCCGAUAUCUAUGGAUACAUCAUCGGCCGUCAUCGGCUAUCAUUGAAAGAAUAAUGUUGUCAUUGUUAUAAUUUUUUUUAUUUUUUUGAAAGAAUAAACGCACUAAAACAACUCAAAUAUUAAGUCGAGAAACGUGUUGGACCUGGAUGGAUGCUUAGCACCAUAAGGAAUCAACUAACUGAGAGCAUCUCCAGCAACUGAAGAAAAUUUUGACCCAAAAACUAGUUAUUGGAGAAGAUACAAAAUAUGUUUUGGGAUUUUUGAAGGUUUUCUUUCCAGCAGAAUGAGAAAAUCCAAUACCUAAUGAGAAAAUUAGUGAAUUGAGAGAGGAGAGGUCUCCCCUUUAUUCAAUGGGUGGGAGGCU
rnacentral:lncRNA from 1 species